CCUACGGGAGGCAGCAGUAGGGAAUCUUGCUCAAUGGGCGAAAGCCUGAAGCAGCAACGCCGCGUGGGUGAUGAAGGUUUUAGGAUUGUAAACUCCUGUUGUUAGAGAAGAUUGUGCCUGUAUCUAACUGAUAACCACUCGCUAACUACGGACCAGCAGCCGCCGUAUUACGGCGGGGGAAAGCGUGAAGCGGAAUCACUGGGCGUAAAGUGAACCGAGGCGGUUUUAUAAGUCAGAUGUGAAAUCCUGUGGCUUAACCAGAGAACUGCAUUUGAAACUGUAACUCUGGAGUGCAGGAGAGGUAGGUGGAAUUCCAGGUGUAGGGGUAAAAUGCGUAGAGAUAAAGAAGAAUACUCAUUGCGAAGGUGACCUGCUGGAACAUUACUGACGCUGAUGCACGAAAGCGUGGGGAGCAAACAGGAUUAGAUACCCUUGUAGUC
rnacentral:rRNA from 1 species